ACGUAAUGUGAAUUGCAGAAUUCAGUGAAUCUUCGAGUCUUUGAACGCACAUUGCGCCCCCUGGUAUUCCGGGGGGCAUGCCUGUUCGAGCGUCAUUUCACCACUCAAGCCUCGCUUGGUAUUGGGCAACGCGGUCCGCCGCGUGCCUCAAAUCGACCGGCUGGGUCUUCUGUCCCCUAAGCGUUGUGGAGACUAUUCGCUAAAGGGUGCUCGGGAGGCUACGCCGUAAAACAAACCCAUUUCUAAGGUUGACCUCGGAUCAGGUAGGGAUACCCGCUGAACUUAAGCAUAUCAAUAAGCGGAGGAAA
rnacentral:rRNA from 1 species